rnacentral:rRNA from 1 species
GUAGCGCGCCCAAGACCCGAAGCGGAGUGAUCUAGCCAUGGGCAGGUUGAAGCGGCUGUAAGAGGUCGUGGAGGACCGAACCCACCAGGGUUGAAAACCUGGGGGAUGACCUGUGGUUAGGGGUGAAAGGCCAAUCAAACUCCGUGAUAGCUGGUUCUCCCCGAAAUGCAUUUAGGUGCAGCGUCGUGUGUUUCUUGCCGGAGGUAGAGCACUGGAUAGGCGAUGGGCCCUACCGGGUUACUGACCUUAGCCAAACUCCGAAUGCCGGUAAGUGAGAGCGCGGCAGUGAGACUGUGGGGGAUAAGCUCCAUGGUCGAGAGGGAAACAGCCCAGAGCAUCGACUAAGGCCCCUAAGCGUACGCUAAGUGGGAAAGGAUGUGGAGUCGCAGAGACAACCAGGAGGUUGGCUUAGAAGCAGCCACCCUUGAAAGAGUGCGUAAUAGCUCACUGGUCAAGUGAUUCCGCGCCGACAAUGUAGCGGGGCUCAAGCGUACCGCCGAAGUCGUGUCAUUGCAGCAUAAGGACCAACGUCUGCUGUGAUGGGUAGGGGAGCGUCGUGUGCCGGGUGAAGCAGCGCCGGAAGGUAGUUGUGGACGGUUCACGAGUGAGAAUGCAGGCAUGAGUAGCGAUACAAGAGUGGGAAACUCUUGCGCCGAUUGACUAAGGGUUCCUGGGUCAAGCUGAUCUGCCCAGGGUAAGUCGGGACCUAAGGCGAGGCCGACAGGCGUAGUCGAUGGACAACCGGUUGAUAUUCCGGUACCCGCUUUGAAGCGCCAGCGCUGAACCAGGCGAUGCUAAGUCCGUGAAGCCGCCCUGAUCUCUUCGGAGUUGAGGGGAGUGGUGGAGCCGACGGACCAGACCUGUAGUAGGUGAGCGAUGGGGUGACGCAGGAAGGUAGUCCAGCCCGGGCGGUGGUUGUCCCGGGGUAAGGGUGUAGGACGUCACGUAGGCAAAUCCGCGUGACAUAUAGUCUGAGACCUGAUGCCGAGCCGAUUGUGGUGAAGUGGAUGAUCCUAUGCUGUCGAGAAAAGCCUCUAGCGAGUUUCAUGGCGGCCCGUACCCUAAACCGACUCAGGUGGUCAGGUAGAGAAUACCGAGGCGUUCGGGUGAACUAUGGUUAAGGAACUCGGCAAAAUGCCCCCGUAACUUCGGGAGAAGGGGGGCCAUGUCCGGUGAUGAGACACGCUCUCUGAGCUGGGUGUGGCCGCAGAGACCAGCGAGAAGCGACUGUUUACUAAAAACACAGGUCCGUGCGAAGCCGUAAGGCGAUGUAUACGGACUGACGCCUGCCCGGUGCUGGAACGUUAAGGGGACCGGUUAGCUCCAUUUCGGUGGGGCGAAGCUGAGAACUUAAGCGCCAGUAAACGGCGGUGGUAACUAUAACCAUCCUAAGGUAGCGAAAUUCCUUGUCGGGUAAGUUCCGACCUGCACGAAUGGCGUAACGACUUCUCGACUGUCUCAACCAUAGGCCCGGUGAAAUUGCACUACGAGUAAAGAUGCUCGUUUCGCGCAGCAGGACGGAAAGACCCCGGGACCUUUACUAUAGCUUGAUAUUGGUGUUCGGUUCGGCUUGUGUAGGAUAGGUGGGAGACUGUGAAGCAUGCACGCCAGUGUGUGUGGAGUCGUCGUUGAAAUACCACUCUGGUCGUGCUGGAUGUCUAACCUGGGUCCGUGAUCCGGAUCAGGGACAGUGUCUGGUGGGUAGUUUAACUGGGGCGGUUGCCUCCUAAAGGGUAACGGAGGCGCCCAAAGGUUCCCUCAGCCUGGUUGGUAAUCAGGUGUUGAGUGUAAGUGCACAAGGGAGCUUGACUGUGAGACCGACGGGUCGAGCAGGGACGAAAGUCGGGACUAGUGAUCCGGCGGUGGCUUGUGGAAGCGCCGUCGCUCAACGGAUAAAAGGUACCCCGGGGAUAACAGGCUGAUCUUCCCCAAGAGUCCAUAUCGACGGGAUGGUUUGGCACCUCGAUGUCGGCUCGUCGCAUCCUGGGGCUGGAGUCGGUCCCAAGGGUUGGGCUGUUCGCCCAUUAAAGCGGUACGCGAGCUGGGUUUAGAACGUCGUGAGACAGUUCGGUCCCUAUCCGCUGUGCGCGUAGGAGUCUUGAGAAGGGCUGUCCCUAGUACGAGAGGACCGGGACGGACGAACCUCUGGUGUGCCAGUUGUCCUGCCAAGGGCAUGGCUGGUUGGCUACGUUCGGGAGGGAUAACCGCUGAAAGCAUCUAAGCGGGAAGCCUGCUUCGAGAUGAGGGCUCCCACCCACUUGAUGGGGUAAGGCUCCCAGUAGACGACUGGGUUGAUAGGCCAGGUGUGGAAGACCGGUAACGGUUGGAGCUGACUGGUACUAAUAGGCCGAGGGCUUGUCCU